UACCAUUUGCCUUCAUGUCCUUGUUGGUCU
rnacentral:piRNA from 1 species